AACGAACGCUGGCGGCAGGCCUCAAACAUGCAAGUCUAGCGGGCAUAGCAAUAUGUCAGCGGCGGACGGGUGCGUAACACGUGGGAAUGUACCUAUUGGUUCGGAACAACGCAGGGAAACUUGCGCUAAUACCGAAUGUGCCCUUCGGGGGAAAGAUUUAUCGCCAAUGGAUCAGCCCGCGUUCGAUUAGCUAGUUGGUGAGGUAAUGGCUCACCAAGGCGACGAUCGAUAGCUGUUCUGAGAGGAAGAUCAGCCACACUGGGACUGAGACACGGCCCAGACUCCUACGGGAGGCAGCAGUUGGGAAUCUUGGACAAUGGGGGAAACCCUGAUCCAGCCAUGCCGCGUGAGUGAUGAAGGCCUUCGGGUUGUAAAACUCUUUCGACGGGGACGAGUAAUGACGGUACCCGUAGAAGAAGCUCCGGCUAACUUCGUGCCAGCAGCCGCGGUAAU
rnacentral:rRNA from 1 species